UUUUCAAUACACACUGGCAGCCGGCGGGCGUCGUGUGCACAUAAUUUAUAACGCUACUACAUAAUAUAUCACGAAGAAGAGCCACAUGACCUGUGACACCUGAAACCACAACAAAGUUUCCAAAGAUCGCUGAAUACUUGCAGAUAACAUGAUUGCAACGAUAUAUGACGCAUUAUUUGUGUUCUUCAAGCCAUGCAGAUAACUUCAUAAUAUAUUACAUUUAUAAUUUGAUAGCCUACAGUGUCAACAGAAGUGAAAACGGAUCAAAGAAAUUGAAGUGGUCAGCCUCAGCCCCUCUGUGGGUGUGUUUAUUCUAAAGUGGCCAGCAUUAUUCACUGAAGCUCAGAUCAAGGAGGAGUUUAGACGCAUCACAACAUAUUCCUUGGAGGAGACAUUCACACGGAAGCUUGAUGAGUACUCACGAGGUCUUUUGCGGCUAAUGCGCGCCAAAGGAGAAGUAGCUGGUUGCAAGAUGUGUCCUCUGCUGGACACUUUAAAUGACACACAGAACAUUGAGAAACAUGAGAUGCUGUUGUCUGCUGCCUCAUUAAAGACAAGACUACCUUGGUGAAAAUCAAGAAGAUCUUUUCCAUUACUACCAGGAAUGUGAGGACUACACAGACAAAAACAUGAAGGUGAUUGUGAAGCACAAUGUCAUGGCUGAGGAGGAUCCAGAUUUGUCUAUUGUGAUCGAGGGAAACCAAGUAAUGGAAUCACAGAGUUUAGAUACAACAAAAUGUGAUUGGACUUCUUCCAGUACUGCUCUGAUCUCCUCGCUUCUAGUUUCAUUUUCUACUCUCUCCUCCUCCUAAAACAGCAAUGUUUUAUUAUCCAACAUUAUUGAAACAACAUUUGAUAGUCCAGUGAGUUAACAUGUUCAUUACUUGAAAUGCUGUGUAAAGUUAUUGUGCUGCACUGUAUUUUGAGUGUUUCAUAUGAAUUUUUGGAUUAAAAACAUUGAUCUGA